GGGGGAGGAAAAGAAACCAACAGGGAUUGCCUCAGUAACGGCGAGUGAAGCGGCAAGAGCCCAAAUUUGAAAUCUGGCACCCGCCCGAGUUGUAAUUUGGAGAGGAUGCUUCGGGGGCUGUCCCCGGCCCAAGUCCCUUGGAACAGGACGUCGUAGAGGGUGAGAUCCCCGUACGCGGCCGGGAGGCUCCCCCGUGCGAAGCUCCUUCGACGACUCGAGUUGUUUGGGAAUGCAGCUCAAAUCGGGAGGUAUAUUCCUUCUAAGGCUGAAUACCGGCCGGAGACCGAUAGCGCACAAGUAGAGUGAUCGAAAGAUGAAAAGCACUUUGGAAAGAGAGUCAAACAGUAUGUGAAAUUGUUGAAAGGGAAGCGUUUGCAGCCAGACCCGGCGGCGGUCGCUCACCCGGUCUCUGCCCGGUGCACUCSACCGCCGCCUGGCCAGCAUCGGUCCGGGCGGCCGGAGAAAGGCUCCGGGAAUGUGGCUCCCCCCGGGGAGUGUUAUAGCCCGCCGCACAACGCGGCCUGCCUGGACCGAGGACGGCCCUCUGCUCGGAUGCUGGCGUAAUGGAAGCCAACGGCC
rnacentral:rRNA from 1 species